CAAGAACCAGAACUGAAAACAGUGUCACGGCUGAGAGUAAAUGAGGCUGACAGAUAAAGCCGAUCGGAGCACAGGCAAAGGUAUCCAUGUAGACAGCAUUUUUUCUCCAGUGCUACAGAUCAAACCCAAGGACUUCUACAUGGCAUAAAGCACUCCAGGACAGAGAGUGCGGGAUCUUUUGCCAGCUCUGGAGAGUCUGGAAAGGGUAAAAACGGGAGAGGCCCAAGAGGGCCUGCUGCUGCUACACUGAGCCCACUGCUGUUGCAUUUGCUCGUGAUGGUCUGCUGGGUGUUCUGACAAUGAAGGCUGUGCUCACCCCAGGGAAGCCAAUGAACCUACCAUCUGCAGCCUACAGAGGUCUACGCCCCUUUCUCCUCUGACUUCUUCCUCUCCAACCUAGCAUUGGGGAUUUGGAUGGGAUUAAGGUGGAAUGAGGGUAAAGAUAUAAGAAUGCAAUAAAAUAAUAAAACAAUUAGGCCAACACUAC
rnacentral:lncRNA from 1 species